rnacentral:tRNA from 1 species
GCCCGCCUAGCUCAAUCGGAUAGAGCGUGAGACUUUUACGUACCACGUGGGCUCAGUCAGUCACGAGGCUUUAAUCUCAAGGCUGCGGGUUCGACCCCCGCGGUGGGCU